GACGAACGCUGGCGGCGUGCUUAACACAUGCAAGUCGAACGGAAAGACCCUGCUUUUGUGGGGUGCUCGAGUGGCGAACGGGUGAGUAACACGUGAGUAACCUGCCCUUGACUUUGGGAUAACUUCAGGAAACUGGGGCUAAUACCGGAUAGGAGCUCCUGCUGCAUGGUGGGGGUUGGAAAGUUUCGGCGGUUGGGGAUGGACUCGCGGCUUAUCAGCUUGUUGGUGGGGUAGUGGCUUACCAAGGCUUUGACGGGUAGCCGGCCUGAGAGGGUGACCGGCCACAUUGGGACUGAGAUACGGCCCAGACUCCUACGGGAGGCAGCGGUGGGGAAUAUUGCACAAUGGGCGGAAGCCUGAUGCAGCAACGCCGCGUGCGGGAUGACGGCCUUCGGGUUGUAAACCGCUUUCGCCUGUGACGAAGCGUGAGUGACGGUAAUGGGUAAAGAAGCACCGGCUAACUACGUGC
rnacentral:rRNA from 1 species